GUGGGAGCAUCUUCAAUAAACUGUUUUUAUUCAUGUUUGCUGUUUGUUUAUUUAAUUCCUGAUUCCAAAGGAAGCACCAACAAUAAAGGUUCCGCUACUGGAUGACACUAAAAGUAAGGGGCAUAUUUUAAGAUCAAGAGAUCUUCCUUUAAAACAAAGGCGAGGAAGCUGUGUUUCCAUAAUUCUAGCUCCAUAAGUUAGCCCCACCUGCAAGAACUGCACUCACCAGGAGUAGACCUUGACAAAUCAAGAGGAAAUCUCAAACACAUCCUUCAUGUGUUUCUGUGAAACGAACACUAACAUGAACAAGCAGAAAGCUUACAGAGGUCUUUGACUCACAAAUGAAGUUGAUGAAUCAGAAAACUAUGGAAAAUUAAAAGACUUCAGGAACACUGCUGCAGAAAUACAAAGGAUUUCCUUCAGUCAAAAUUCCUUUUCUGUGAACAGGAAUGAAGACACAACUUCAAACCUCAGUGAACAAGGCCCAAAACUUAGAUGGGAGAUUGGAUGGAGAAGAGGGGGCUGCCUUUCCUUCCUGCUAUGGUGCAUCCUGCUCUUCUGCUAACACACACCACAGAAAAGCACAUAUAGCUAAUAUCAUGUGACUUCACUCCAGCUUGAAAGUAGAAGUUAAACAUUGGUUCCGAAAGGAAAUGGGUUAAUGAGCUUAUUAAAGAGUAGAUAUAUGGAAUAGCUGAUUUUCCAGCUUCUCUAAUACAUAACAUAACCAUUAGCCAAAGACUAUGCAUCUUUGGCCAGACUGUUUGGAUUCACUUGGGCUCGAGCAUGUUCUCCUGCUUUUAUUGAUUAUUAAGUCUAUUUCCAAACCCUUUACACUAGCAUAGGAAGGAAAAUUGGUUCUACCCUAAACAGAAACCAGUAAUGGUUGGUACUAAUAGUGGUACCUGGGUACCACUAUUAGAACAAUUAGUUCAUAAACAGCACAACUUCCUUUAGCUAUUGGUUAGGUUUUUUUUUUAAAGUUCCAGCAAUUAAGACCUAAAUGUUUUAUUACUCCUUUUAAUUCCACCAUUGCUGAUAUGGAGAAAGUGAUUAAUAUCUCUGAGAGAACCCAUUGUCUAUAGGCCAACGUUGAAAUCAAGGGGUCUAGUGAUAGAAUUACUUUCAGCUAAUUUAAUGCAAUUCAUUUCUAUGGUUGUAACUAACUCUAUCUUUCAGCUAAAAUUGGCUUUUUAAAAUGUUUACUUUGUGAAUGUGGUGGUAAAAUCAAGAAACAAGUAUUUGUAGAACACAUCCUCAUGAUAACAUUCAAGGCUGAGAUAAACAGAAGAUAAAUAAUUGAGACAAAGAUGGUGAGUGCAAUUAAGACUGGAAUUAGGCCACAGUUAAAUCAACUAUGAUGUUAUUAUGAGAUAGAUCAGGCUAGGUAGUAAACAUGGGCUACACUUGCUUCUAUUUUUAUGUGCAUAUUAUCGUAUUUGGUCCCACAGUUGGCUGUAAUGACGUUGCCUUAUGUUUUUGAAAUCAGUGACUAUGUCAGUUAUGUCUAGAAUCAAGUCCAUGAUAUUUGUGAAAAGAAUUGUGAUUAACUGUGACAUUCCCCUCUUAAUCAGCAGACUUUAGCUUGGUAUGUAUAAAUCUAUUGGUUAAGGCAGAGAGUGGGGGUUGUGCACAUCAACAAUUCCAUCACCAUGAGGUGAGUGGGUGAUCAAUGUGAAGAAAUUUGGAAACAGUUCAGACAACUUUUGAUUUCUGCAAUGAUCCAUAUAGAAGCUCUUAAUCUGGAAGGGCACAUUGUGAAUUUGACCCUCUUUCAAUUCAUGAGCCCACAAUUUUCCUUUAUUGUACCGGACAAACAAUCCUGAGCUCAAGGAUUAGCCAUGUGCCAGAAUUAUUCAUUUCAACAUGGGACUUUGCAUCAGAAGUGUCAAAGAUGGAAAUGUAUUGAAUAAUUAGACUGAAUACUUAAUUCAAAUAGUCUACAAGUAAAGAAAAUUCUUGAAAUUAUGAACCAAGGAAAUGGCAUCUUCAAUGUGAUGGAAUCAGAAUUUAAUCAAGAUAAUGAUUUAUGGAUUUGGGUAGCAUUAAUUGGUUUCUCUGAAGACACAGGGCAAAUCCAGAGGUGAUGUUAACUGAUUAUUAUAGAAGUCAUGCUUCAUCCUGAGCAAUAUAGUUCUUCAGAUCUCGUAGAUAAAUAAAACAGGCUGAAUUUAUUUCAGUAAUUGAUUUAUUACAAUUAAUUGUUGCCUAGACCUGAAGAUAACUGAAGUCCUUGUUAUUUUUUCCUUGUAAUUUCCAUAAUGUAAGAUUUU